rnacentral:lncRNA from 1 species
AAGCUCUUCAACACUCGCAGCGUAAUUGUUUAUGACACAAGUAUCAUCAAAGAAAAUUUUAAUUAAAACUUAGUAAGCUUGGCUAAUGGAAUAAUGAAGUGUGGCUGACCUGUUGCAGUUUUUAAGAAAGAAGAGCUACUUUUUUCAAACAUCGAGAAGUAAAACUUCAAUAUAUCAUGAGAACACAUUCAGAUGUCUCCUAUCUACCCAGAACAUUCAGGACUUCCUAUACUGAUUACAUUUGCGCGUGGGCGCAUGAACCUUCAGGGAGAGGCUUUCUAGCCAUUGCUUCUCAAUAGAUGGUGGCAGAGAAAAGCAGAUGUCCCAGAAGAAACAAAACAGCUGAAACCAACAUAAGAUAUCAAAGAACUGCUUGACAAGUAUGAGACCAAGAAAGCCACCCAGAAAAAAGGAUGCAAGGAUAAUGGACAUGUGACAUCAGCAGAGUGAGAUGAGGAAACUGAGGUUGAGAAAUGUUAACUAUCCAGAAGUACAUGUCAAGAUUAGAACUCCAAUACUCUUUGAAUUGCAUCAAUGAACUGCCUCUUAAUAAGGGAAGCAUGAAAUGGUUGACCCGGUCAUGGACUUCUGCCUUUUGAACUCCAUUUUCCAAAGCAAGGAUCUCAGAAGUUUGGCAGCCCUUCCUUUGGGAAUAGAGAACAAGCAAAGUUCUCUCCACAGUGAAUGUUGACUACCCCCAACAAGGACCAGUGCCCUUGGAAUACCUAUUAUGUGCAGCUAGCUAAUUCCAGAUGUGGCCCUGGGAAGCCUGUUGACAUCUCCUGGGAGCCAAGCUACCCUCAGUCAGGUGGAAUUGACUGAUUCCCAGGUAGAAUCAGUGCAUAGGUUUGGGGGAGGGGUGUUGGAGACUUUCUAUUUCUAAGAAAUUUUUAUUAUAUUACUCAUCCACUUGUGCCAUGUGUGUGCCUUCUUCAUGUCAAUAUAAGUGGAACAGAGAAUCAAUUAAAAAUACUUUUAAUUUAUUCAGGUUUCAUGUGGGAAUCUCGAAGAUUUUUAUAAAGACAUUAAAUUCUAUGUUAUCAGUAAUUCUUUUUACUGGUGCUUUGAGAUGCUUAAAGUUUGAUGACUGAUAUUCAUAAUGAUGACCCAAAGGCCCUGUAAGAUCAUGAUGCCCUUUCUUAAUAAUAUCACAGUUAAAACUGCAUUCAAUAUAGUUUUAUUGCUAACUUUAUUUAAUUAAUUCUCAAAAUUAUUCUGAAUCUACCUCUGGCACAGUACAUAUGGUAACUAUUGGCCAGGGAAUCUGAUUCAUCAAAAAGAACACUUCUUUUUCAAUUCGACCAGAUAGCAGGGAUUUUACUGUAUAGGGAAGUAAAUAUUCAUUGUACCAUAUAUAAUAUUAAAUUAUUGAUAAUAAAUAUGACAACACAUAAGCAUUCAACUGAUUAAAUUUCAAUGAAUAAAUUGAAAUAAAUAAUACUCAUCAGCUAGAAUAUGAUUUUUAUUGUAUGUUCUAUGAUCAAAAGCCUGGUAAUAAAUUAGACUAGUCAUGCACUGCACUUCCAGAAAAGAAGACCCAAUAUCUUUGAAAAUAUGUGAUCUCUAUUUAUAAAAGUCACUCGUCCUUCUCUUGGCAGACCUCAAAGUCCAGCCUGCCAAGAAAAAAUAAUAAUAUAUCUGAUGUAGAUUAAGAUUUUCAAACUUUAAGUAUCAGUCUCUUAGCAAC